CCUACGGGCGGCAGCAGUGAGGAAUAUUGGUCAAUGGGCGCGAGCCUGAACCAGCCAAGUAGCGUGAAGGAUGACUGCCCUAUGGGUUGUAAACUUCUUUUAUAUGGGAAUAAAAUGUUCCACGUGUGGGAUUUUGUAUGUACCAUAUGAAUAAGGAUCGGCUAACUCCGUGCCAGCAGCCGCGGUAAUACGGAGGAUCCGAUCGUUAUCCGGAUUUAUUGGGUUUAAAGGGAGCGUAGGUGGAUUGUUAAGUCAGUUGUGAAAGUUUGCGGCUCAACCGUAAAAUUGCAGUUGAAACUGGCAGUCUUGAGUACAGUGGAGGUGGGCGGAAUUCGUGGUGUAGCGGUGAAAUGCUUAGAUAUCACGAAGAACUCCGAUUGCGAAGGCAGCUCACUGGACUGCAACUGACACUGAGGCUCGAAAGUGUGGGUAUCAAACAGGAUUAGAUACCCGAGUAGUC
rnacentral:rRNA from 1 species